UACGUAGGGGGCAAGCGUUGUCCGGAUUUAUUGGGCGUAAAGAGCGUGUAGGCGGCCAGACAAGUCUGCUGUGAAAACUCGAGGCUCAACCUCGAGACGCCGAUGGAAACCAUCUGACUAGAGUCCGGAAGAGGAGAGUGGAAUUCCUGGUGUAGCGGUGAAAUGCGCAGAUAUCAGGAAGAACACCCGUGGCUAAGGCGGCUCUCUAGUACGGUACUGACGCUGAGACGCGAAAGCGUGGGGAGCGAACAGG
rnacentral:rRNA from 1 species